GACAGAGGGUGCAAACGUUGUUCGGAAUUACUGGGCGUAAAGCGCGUGUAGGCGGCAGGGCAUGUCGGAUGUGAAAUCCCGUGGCUCAACCACGGAAGUGCACCCGAAACUGCCCAGCUUGAGUCUCGGAGAGGAAGGCGGAAUGCUUGGUGUAGAGGUGAAAUUCGUAGAUAUCAAGCGGAACACCGGUGGCGAAGGCGGCCUUCUGGACGAUGACUGACGCUGAGACGCGAAAGCGUGGGGAGCAACAGG
rnacentral:rRNA from 1 species